rnacentral:rRNA from 1 species
AACGAACGCUGGCGGCAUGCCUAACACAUGCAAGUCGAACGAGACCUUCGGGUCUAGUGGCGCACGGGUGCGUAACGCGUCGGAACCUGCCCUUAGGUUCGGAAUAACUCCCCGAAAGGGGUGCUAAUACCGGAUAAUGUCUUCGGACCAAAGAUUUAUCGCCUUUGGAUGGGCCCGCGUUGGAUUAGCUAGUUGGUAGGGUAAAAGCCUACCAAGGCGACGAUCCAUAGCUGGUCUGAGAGGAUGAUCAGCCACACUGGGACUGAGACACGGCCCAGACUCCUACGGGAGGCAGCAGUGGGGAAUAUUGGACAAUGGGCGAAAGCCUGAUCCAGCAAUGCCGCGUGAGUGAUGAAGGCCGUAGGGAUGUAAAGCUCGUUUACCCGGGAUGAUAAUGACAGUACCGGGAGAAUAAGCUCCGGCUAACUCCGUG